CUGAAAUCCAAACUCAAAUUAUUCUGCAGUACCCUACAUCCAUCCAAUUUGCAUGCCCACUGAGAGCAAAAGCAACAGAGCAGAUGUCCUGAGCUGGCCCAAGGAAGCCCAGGCAGACACACCAAUACAACCAUCAGCAUACAGAACGAUCUUGCAGCGUGUCAGUCAGCGUCACGUGAGCAGUCCCCGUCCAUUGCUCCUGGGACCCGGGGGGUGAUUUGGAAAGGAUCUGCUGGGCUGUCACUCAC
rnacentral:lncRNA from 1 species